CUUUGCAUCAGCAGCACCAUGCUCCAGUGCUCUGGGAGAGUUUAUAGUCCUGAGAGUUGAACACUGGAGGACUGACAGCUGUCCUUCAUGACAACAGAAGACAAAGAAAUCCUCCUCAUCAAAAACAUGACUUUGAUCUGCGUCCUCAUCUGGACUCUCCUCUGCUGCUGCUUCACAGAGUCCAGAGGUCAGGUCACAGUGACUCAGCCUGCAGCAGUGACAGCUGAUCUGGGAGGAUCUGCCAGGAUCACCUGUAGAACCAGUCAGGAUGUGUUUUAUAGCUUCUUUCUCACCGACAGCAACGAGUGUUUAGCCUGGUAUCAACAGAAAGAUGGACAACCUCCUAAGCUGCUCAUUUAUUAUACCAGCACUCGAGCAUCAGGGACUCCAAGUCGUUUUACAGGCAGUGGAUCAAACUCUGACUUCACUCUGACCAUCAGUGGAGUUCAGGCUGAAGAUGCUGCAGUUUAUUACUGUCAGAGUUAUCAUGCCAUCAACGGUGAGGUUGUGUUCACACAGUGAAAAACAGUCGUA